rnacentral:lncRNA from 1 species
CCCACACAGAGCCCCCGGGCAUCGCAGCGCCCCGGCUCCUCUCCCACACAGGGGGUGCAGGGGGGAUGCAGUGGGGCACAGUGUGGAUGCAGGGGGGAUGCAGUGGGGCAGGAGGUGUGCGGGGGUGCAGGGCAGCACAGCGGGGGUGCAGGGGGGAUGCCAUGGGGCACAAUGUGGGUGCAGCGGGGUGCAGUGGGGCACAAUGUGGAUGCAGCGGGGCACAGUGUGGAUGCAGUGGGGUGCAGUGGGGCACACGAGGUGUGCGGGGGUGCAGUGUGGAUGCAGUGGGGCACAGUGUGGGUGCAGUGGGGCACAGCAGGGCCUGGCCGCCCCACGUCACCCCCUGCGGAAGGGCAUGCAGGGGGGCCCGGCGCGGGUGCAGCAGGACACAGCAGGAUGCAGCAGGGCGCUGUGGGGCCGGGGGCCUCACCCCCCACACAAGGGUGCAGUGGGGCGGCGCAGUGGGGCCCGGUGUGGGUGCAGGGGGCACAGCAGGGACGUUGUGGGGCCCCGUAGGGAUGCCAUGGGGCGCAACGUGGAUGUAGCGGGGCACGGUGGGGAUGCCGUGGGGCGCAGCAGGGAUGGUGUGGGGCGCAGCAGGGAUGCCGUGGGGCACCACAGCCCCAUCUCACCUCUCGCAGAAGGUGUGCAGGGGGGAGGGAGGGUGCAGUGGGGUGCAGCAGGGAUGCCAUGGGGCGCAGCAGGGAUGCAGUGGGGCGCAGUGGGGCGCAGUGGGGCAGCACGGCCCGGUCUCACCUCUCGCAGAAGGUGUGCGGGGGGGGGAGGGUGCAGGAGGGAUGCAGUGGGGCGCAGCAGGGAUGCCGUGGGAUGCAGCAGGGAUGCAGUGGGGCGCAGCAGGGACGCCGUGGGGCGCAGCAGGGAUGCCGUGGGGGCGCAGUGGGGCGCAGUGGGGCAGCACGGCCCGGUCUCACCUCUCGCAGAAGGUGUGCAGGCAGGGCAGCACCUUGGGGCUGCGGUAGCGGUCGAGGCAGAUGCUGCACACCAGGAACUGCUUGUCAAUCUGCCGC